ACAAAACAAAAAGCCAACAAUGGGAUUGCUGCUCAUAGAAUAUUCCACCUCCUGACUCUCUGAGGGGCAGUUUCUCAUAGUGACUCUCAACUGUGUUCCUAGGUUCUCUGAUUUCUCUACAUCCUGGCCAACACUUGCAAGCCUGUUUGGUUGACAGUGGCCAUCCUGAUGCCCUGGCUGUGAGAACUGAACCCAAGGAACCAUGCUUCUCCAUUGUUUCCUGUUUUCUGAGACGUGGAAUUGUCAUUUGUCAAGAACUUCGCAGAAAACACCGACAGAGAACAUGGUUGCAUCUGAAUAGCAUGGGAUAAAGACGGUGGAAGCAUCUAAUAUCCAACCUGGAGCGGCUGUCUAGACCCCUGUGCUCCUUUGAAAGGGCCAGGACAACACUGGAUCGGGACAGCACACACUUGGUAAGAUGGUCGUAUGCCAGUUCAUCAGAUUCAGGGCUCAGAGCCAGGGGCAAUGCUGACGGACGGCUGUUCCCACCUUUUGCCUUGGCCUGCCUCCAGGGACUGGCUACUUUUGGAGGACUUUAGACAUCUGCUGGGUGCUUGAACCAAUUUUAUUUAGAAGACUCCAGUUGGCACCACACACACACACACACACACACACACACACACACA